rnacentral:tRNA from 1 species
GCCUUCGUGGUGUAAGAGUAGCACAUUUGGCUUAUAUUAGAGAGGUCCAGGUUUGAGUCCUGGCGAGGACG